CUCAUAAUAGCCUUUCAACACCUCAAAAGUUAGUCUAGCCAGCAGCCCCAAACAUGUCAAACAAAACUGCAUCAGACAAGCACCAUAAAGAAUGCAUCUCACUUUUGGCCAAUCUUUUGAGCUAACAUCUCAAGUGAAGGAGGAGCAACUCAAAUCCAAUCUCUCAGUCAACAAAACCAGAAGAAGUUUUAAGACACGUAAUAAAAGCACUAAGUGAAGAAAGAUACACCAAAACAGAUUUAGGAUUUUGACAAAACAAGGCAAGCAAAUAAAACUUGCAGAAACAUAAAGCUGAAUUAUAUUGAA